rnacentral:rRNA from 1 species
AAUAGAUACCCUGGUAGUCCACGCCGUAAACGAUGAGUGCUAAGUGUUAGAGGGUUUCCGCCCUUUAGUGCUGCAGCUAACGCAUUAAGCACUCCGCCUGGGGAGUACGGUCGCAAGACUGAAACUCAAAGGAAUUGACGGGGGCCCGCACAAGCGGUGGAGCAUGUGGUUUAAUUCGAAGCAACGCGAAGAACCUUACCAGGUCUUGACAUCCUCUGACAACUCUAGAGAUAGAGCGUUCCCCUUCAGGGGACAGAGUGACAGGUGGUGCAUGGUUGUCGUCAGCUCGUGUCGUGAGAUGUUGGGUUAAGUCCCGCAACGAGCGCAACCCUUGAUCUUAGUUGCCAGCAUUCAGUUGGGCACUCUAAGGUGACUGCCGGUGACAAACCGGAGGAAGGUGGGGAUGACGUCAAUCAUCAUGCCCUUAUGACCUGGGCUACACACGUGCUACAAUGGAUGGUACAAAGGGCUGCAAGACCGCGAGGUCAAAGCCCAAAUCCCCGAUAAAAACCGNUUCUCAGUUCGGAAUUUC